UAAACCCUGGCCUUCGUCGUCUUCGUCUAUAUAUACUUCUCAUGGCUCUUCUCAUCCCCCGCCUCCUCCUCGGCCUUUAAUGGGAGAGUGUUCGCUCGGCGCUUCCUCCUCGGCUCCGAAUGCGUCUUUGGAGACUCUCCCUAUUCUCUGUUUCUGGUGUUCAGAAUGUCGGAAGGUGCUCACCGUCCUGGGGUUGCGAACCGAAGUUUUUUGAGGGGAAAGGAAAAAUUCUAGACAACUUUCAUUUGAAGGCAGUUUGUUUGGAGAAAUUGAUGGUGUUAUUUAAGGAGAGUUUUGAGAGAUAGCUGAAAUGUAGGCUAAAUGCUUUGUUGAAACCUACACACAUUGUUCAUGUAGUAAGAGUGUAGUUCUGAUGGAGUCUCUGGAAUGUUGUUAAUGGCCUUAAACGAUAAGGUGAGUUGAAUUACCUAAUUUUUUCCAAUGUAAAGCAUAUAUGUAACAUCUGAGUUUUGUAGUCUCACUGUAAUACAACUAAAUUUGAGUUGUAGA